rnacentral:tRNA from 1 species
GGCGCAAUCGGCUAGCGCGUUCGGCAGUUAACCGGAAGGCUGGAGGUUCGAGCCCUCC